rnacentral:rRNA from 1 species
CCUACGGGUGGCUGCAGUCGAGGAUCUUCGGCAAUGAGCGCAAGCUUGACCGAGCGACGCCGCGUGGGCGAUGAAGGCCUUCGGGUUGUAAAGCCCUGUCGAGAGGGAGAAAGGGAAACUUGAUCUAUCUCUGGAGGAAGCACGGGCUAAGUUCGUGCCAGCAGCCGCGGUAAGACGAACCGUGCGAACGUUGUUCGGAAUCACUGGGCUUAAAGGGCGCGUAGGCGGGUCGCCAAGUUUGGGGUGAAAUCCUCCGGCUCAACCGGAGAACGGCC